CAAAUGACGUCUAAACAAGCAGGCCAAACAAAUGAAACCUCAGCCUCAGAGUCAACAACUGUCACACUUUCAACUCCUCAUACCUCCACUCCUGACACUAAAUCAUCCCAAAUGACGUCUAAACAAGCAGGCCAAACAAAUGAAACCUCAGCCUCAGAGUCAACAACUGUCACACUUUCAACUCCUCAUACCUCCACUCCUGACACUAAAUCAUCCCAAAUGACGUCUAAACAAGCAGGCCAAACAAAUGAAACCUCAGCCUCAGAGUCAACAACUGUCACACUUUCAACUCCUCAUACCUCCACUCCUGACACUAAAUCAUCCCAAAUGACGUCUAAACAAGCAGGCCAAACAAAUGAAACCUCAGCCUCAGAGUCAACAACUGUCACACUUUCAACUCCUCAUACCUCCACUCCUGACACUAAUCAUCCC